AAAAAAUUUUGGUUUUUCAUUUAAUAUUUAAAUUUUUCUUUAUUUUUUUUCAUUUGUGUUGUGGAAAUAUUUUGGAAUGUCUUUGUUAAAUAAGAAAGAACUUUUUUCGCUUUUGCUACUCAGGAGGUAUAUCUCCAGAUAGGUUGUAUUUUCUAUCAUAAAUUAGGAUGCAGAUUUAAAUUUCAGACCUGCUGAUGUGGGGGGGGGCUUGUCCUGUGACUAUAAAUUUUAAGAGUCUAGUUUAAGGUUCCUUUCUUAUAGGAAACUUGAUUGAUUUUGAAUUUUCUAGGUUUUUGAAUUUUCUAGGUCUGAAUAUAAAAUUAAGCCCCUGGAUCUACAAGAUUACAAGAUUAGAAAAAACAAACUCAGAAUCCAGCAAUUUUCAAAUGGCACCAAAAAAUGGUGUAAUCAGCAACAAGGAAUGAAAGAGACCCACAAAGCAGAUUUUAUAAAAAGAAACAUCAAGACGGCUGCAGACAUUUGGCCAGAGGGAAGAGGAGCUAAAAGAGGCCAAACAAGAAGUGCUGAAAACAUAAAGGAGAAAAUAUGAACAAGAGAAGAGCCGUCGUUUUUUACCUGUAUAAGGGAACAGGUUUUU